GCCCUUAGAGUUUGAUCCUGGCUCAGAUUGAACGCUGGCGGCGUGCCUAACACAUGCAAGUCGAACGCGAAAGUUUCUUCGGAAAUGAGUAGAGUGGCGCACGGGUGAGUAACGCGUGGAUUAUCUACCUACUGGUACGGGACAACAGUUGGAAACGACUGCUAAUACCGUAUACGCUGGUAACGGGAAAGGGGGCCUCUUCUUGAAAGCUCUCGCCAGUAGAUGAGUCCGCGUUUCAUUAGCUAGACGGUGGGGUAACGGCCUACCGUGGCAACGAUGAAUAGCAGGCCUGAGAGGGUGGCCUGCCACACUGGGACUGGGACACGGCCCAGACUCCUACGGGAGGCAGCAGUGGGGAAUAUUGCGCAAUGGACGAAAGUCUGACGCAGCGACGCCGCGUGGAGGAUGAAGGUUUUCGGAUCGUAAACUCCUGUCAAGAGGGAAGAAACCUAUCAUGAAUAAUACUUAUAGUAAUUGACGGUACCUCUAGAGGAAGCACCGGCUAAUUUCAGUUGCCAGCAGCCGCGGGAAUACUGGAGAUGCAAGCGGUAAUCGGAAUNACUGGGCGNAAAGCGCUCGUAGAGGNUUUGUAAGUCANNGUGGUGANAGCCCNCCGGCUUAACCCGUGGGAAA
rnacentral:rRNA from 1 species